CGGCUGGUUUAAGCACCCUCA
rnacentral:miRNA from 1 species